CAAGCGCCGGGACUGGUUGCAGACCAGUUGACGAGGUUGGGGGAGAAUCGAAGCUAUCGGCGGAUGCCCCCGUGGCCUGGGAAGGUAGGCCAGUAAGUCGUCUUACAAAACCGUGGAGCGAUCUGCGGGACAAAGGAGGCG
rnacentral:ncRNA from 1 species